rnacentral:rRNA from 1 species
GACGAACGCUGGCGGCGUGCUUAACACAUGCAAGUCGAGCGAGGCCCCGCCUUCGGGUGGGUGUCCUAGCGGCGAACGGGUGAGUAACACGUGGGCAACCUGCCCUCAGCUCUGGGAUAACUCCAAGAAAUUGGGGCUAAUACCGGAUAUGACCGCUGACCGCAUGGUCUGGUGGUGGAAAGAUUUAUUGGCUGGGGAUGGGCCCGCGGCCUAUCAGCGUGUUGGUGGGGUAGUGGCCUACCAAGGCGACGACGGGUAGCCGGCCUGAGAGGGUGACCGGCCACACUGGGACUGAGACACGGCUCAGACUCCUACGGGAGGCAGCAGUGGGGAAUAUUGCGCAAUGGGCGGAAGCCUGACGCAGCGACGCCGCGUGGGGGAUGACGGCCUUCGGGUUGUAAACCUCUUUCAGCAGGGACGAAGCGAAAGUGACGGUACCUGCAGAAGAAGCACCGGCCAACUACGUGCCAGCCGCCGCAGUAAUAC